ensembl:lncRNA
CGCACAAAGAGGGAAAUCUGCUUUCCUCUCUCUGCAAUAUGUGGGAACAAGCAAAGAAACACUGCAGAGAACCACCUGGAAGACUCCUUGCAAAUCUUGCAAAGAGGCGUCUGGCCAACUGCUACUUCACACAGAGGUAAAGGAGUCUCAUUGUGCCCUGCGAUGGACUGGCACCCUGUCCAGGGUGUACCCCGCCUUGUGCCCAAUGCUCCCUGGGAUUGGCUCCAGGUGUCCCCGUGACCCUGAAGAAGGAGUAAGCGGUAGAAGAUGGAUGGAUGGAUGGAUGGAUGGAUGGAUGGAUGGAAGGAGUCUCCAGUGUCAGCGCUUUGUUGCCACAGGCAAAUUUAUGGGUGGAGGACAUUGUGUUUUGUAGUUUCUCUGCAACAUGACAAGCUGCAUUUUUUAGUCUUAUUAACUACAGUACAAGGGAAAGUGAGGGAAUGACUGUUUAUUGCUGUUAUACAGUAAGUCUUAACAGGAAAUAACUUUUGUUCUAGGACAUUCAUCAUCGUUAAUAUAACUAUAAAGUGAUUAAAGGCAUGCUCUUCCAUUCUUUACUUUAUAAUUUUUUUGUUAACGUUUUAAAGUUCCUG